UAUAAUGCCCGAAGGAAGAACCGCACACUCACGAUUCAAGAUACCUCUGACCAUUGAUGAUGGGGGUUAUUGUAGUUUCACAAAGCAAAGUGGGACGGCUAAGCUUCUGCAGGCGGCAUCACUGAUUAUGUGGGAUGAAGCCUCCAUGACUAAGAGGCAGGCGGUGGAGGCCCUGGACAAUAGCAUGCGUGACAUAAUGGGUCGGCCAAAUGUCACGUUUGGCGGGAAGACAGUUGUGUUUGGUGGUGACUUUAGACAGGUCCUCCCUGUUGUUCGAAAGGGGUCAAGGUCUCAGAUAGUUGAUUCGACGCUACGCAGGUCCUACCUGUGGGAGCGCAUGCGACACCUAAGGCUCAUGCGUAACAUGAGGGCUCGGAGCGACCCAUGGUUUGCGGAAUACCUACUGCGCAUCGGUAAUGGCACUGAGGAGGGUGAUGGUGAUGGCAAUAUACGACUUCCUGAUGAUAUAUGUGUGCCGUAUACAGGAAAGGACGCAGACCUUGAUAAACUUAUAUAUAGCGUGUUUCUGAUGCUCGACGCUAACCUAGCUGACCCGAACUACAUCACGUCGAGAGCCAUCCUAUCCACACGAAACGAGUGCGUGGAUACGAUUAACAUGAAGAUGAUUAGUCGUUUUCGGGGGGACGAGAUGGUGUACCAUAGUUUUGAUUGUGCUGAAGAUGACCCCCACAACUACUACCCCUCGGAAUUCCUUAACUCCCUGACCCCAAACGGGCUGCCUCCGCAUGUGCUGAAGCUCAAGGUUAACUGUCCUGUCAUACUGCUCAGAAAUAUUGACCCCGUCAAUGGACUUUGAAACGGGGCAAGGCUUGUGGUCCGGGGAUUCCAAAGAAAUGCUAUUGACGCAGAGAUCGUGCUCGGGCAGCAUGCUGGGAAGAGGAUUUUCCUACCUCGUAUCCCCCUAUGUCCCUCUGAUGAUGAGAUGUUCCCUUUUCGGUUCAAGCGAAAGCAGUUUCCUAUCAGGCUCAGCUUCGCCAUGACAAUUAACAAGGCACAGGGACAGACCAUCCCGAACAUCGGUGUGUACCUUCCCCAGCCAGUGUUCUCUCAUGGCCAGCUAUACGUCGCACUAUCUAGAGCCACUGCCAGAAGGAACAUCAAGAUCCUCGCCGCCCCGGAUGAAGGUAAGAAAAAGGAGAAGCGCUCAAAUCAGAGUGGGACGUGCACUAAGAAUAUCGUCUACAGAGAGAUCCUCACACCAUAGUCGAGGCUCAAUGGUAGAAGGUGCCCAAUUGAUAUGAUGUAGAGAGAAAGGGUAAAGGCAAAAGUAACAACCCAUGAAGUUAAUGCGCAAUGCGCAAGCUCAAUGUUCAUGCCUGCUAUUCUUCUACUAAGCAUGAGUUAAUGUAUUUUUGCACAUACGUAUCACAAAUCAAUAACAGAUGAUGAUGCAAAGUAUGUAAACUUGGAUGUAUGUAUUUUUUGCAUUGUAUUUUAGAACCGUUGCAAUGCACGGGCACUC